rnacentral:snRNA from 1 species
GGAUGUGAGGGCUAUCUGGCUGCGACAUCUGUUACCCCAUUGAUUACCAGGGUUGAUGUGGCUGAUCUGGCUGGCUAGGCGGGUGUCCCCUUCCUCCCUCACCGCUCCAUGUGCGUCCCUCCCAAAGUUGCCACGCACUCGAAGAGGACGGCCUUCCCCGAACAGAGACUGACUGACUGGUCUUCGGUAGAGGGUCUAAAAGUAGCUGCACUCCCCUGCUAGAACCUCCAAACAAGCUCUCAAGAAAAGACUCCAACAAAAGUAUAUUAUCUCAAUGUCGGUGGCCAACAAUUUGCAACUGCUUCAAAUCCACACGGCAGUUCAGUUACCAAGUAGUCUAACAAAA